UUCAAUAUGUAUGUUUUUAGUGUCAUUAAUUUUUCAGAUUUGAAUAAAAGUUUGUUGGAUAUUUUGUAGAUUUUUUUUAUCAUUAUUCUGAUUAGUCAUGGGAAUUCAAGGACCAACUGAUCACAACUCUCUUACUAAUGGCUCAUAGAUACAUUGAAGAUUGAGCAGAGAAGGUCAAAGAUUCUAAAAACAGACAACACUUGGAUCCAUAGAAAUCAUGAACAGCAGCUGCUUUUCGGGUGAAGUUUGACAAUUUCAUCUUCUUGAUGUAUUUAGGCGACCACCUUCUCAAUGUAGAAGAGAUUAUGUAUGACGAAGUUGUUGUAAAAUCAACUUAUGUACUGAAUAUGAUUAUUUCUAUUAGUUUAUUAGUUAUUAUAUUGUAUGAUGAUAAACAUUAUUUCUGGAGCAGAUUAAAUGUGUUAUUGCGUUGAUGUAACUGCAUUCUUUUCCCUUUGUUUUAGAAACAAUAAACUGAAUUAAAAAAAUAUGGUCCCCAAAGUUUAUUAUAGUUUCCUCAAAGACUAGCAGGGUCCAUUGGUGACACGGAAACAAUACCACUUUCAAGAAAGAAUUAAAAAAAUGAAAAAGUUAGAGCAAAGCCAAUUAAGCUCUCCCUUGGACCCCUGCUAUGAAGUUUCUAAGUUAUCAUGUCUUGUUGCAAACUGUGUUUGGUUUUUGUGAUGACAAGUACCACUUUUCUUUUGUUUUUUUCAAAAGAAAUAUACGAUUCAAAACAUAUGUUGGAUGUUCGGUCAUUUAGAUUAUAUAACACCACUUAGUGUAGUGACUUUAUUAUUAUACUUACACACAUAUGUUGGAUGUUCAUGUCUAUGAAUAACUAGAUGUUCACAAUUACUGUACAAGUCGAUGGUUGAUUUCGGGGCUUCGCCCCGUGUUCACUAUACACCCGUUCAAGUUAAUGAUCAUGAACUUUGCUCAAGGUUGACGAUCAUGAAUUAAAUGCUUAACUAAAUUCAAGUCAUUCCCUUUUGAGAUACGAAACAUGAAUCCCUGAAUCAAGACAUAAGAAGCUGGAUGUUCAUUUCAAUAAGUAUAUGGAUGGUUAUUUUCAUAAACAACAUGGAUGUUCAUUUUGAUUAACUAGUAACUAUGUCAUGCCUAAAUAAUUAUAGAUCAACAGAGUUACAAGAAUUCAAAAAGUAAAAAGAUCCACCACAACUACGUCCUGCUACUGUCCCAUAAUAAACUCUCAAUACUUUAACCAGUACAUUAGCCAAACAAGCAAAUUCAACGUUACGCUAAAACAUAAGCG